rnacentral:rRNA from 1 species
UAGGGAAUCUUCCACAAUGGACGAAAGUCUGAUGGAGCAACGCCGCGUGAACGAUGAAGGCCUUCGGGUCGUAAAGUUCUGUUGUAAGGGAAGAACAAGUGCCGCAGGCAAUGGCGGCACCUUGACGGUACCUUGCGAGAAAGCCACGGCUAACUACGUGCCAGCAGCCGCGGUAAUACGUAGGUGGCAAGCGUUGUCCGGAAUUAUUGGGCGUAAAGCGCGCGCAGGCGGCCUCUUAAGUCUGAUGUGAAAGCCCCCGGCUCAACCGGGGAGGGCCAUUGGAAACUGGGAGGCUUGAGUAUAGGAGAGAAGAGUGGAAUUCCACGUGUAGCGGUGAAAUGCGUAGAGAUGUGGAGGAACACCAGUGGCGAAGGCGACUCUUUGGCCUAUAACUGACGCUGA